rnacentral:rRNA from 1 species
AUACGGAGGGUGCAAGCGUUAUUCGGAAUCACUGGGCGUAAAGGACGCGUAGGCGGGUUGGCAAGUCAGAUGUGAAAUCCUACAGCUUAACUGUAGAACUGCAUUUGAAACUGCUAACCUAGAGUAUGGGAGGGGGAGAUGGAAUUAGUGGUGUAGGGGUAAAAUCCGUAGAUAUCACUAGGAAUACCGAAAGCGAAGGCGAUCUUCUGGAACAGUACUGACGCUGAGGCGCGAAAGCGUGGGGAGCAAACAGGAUUAGAAACCCGGGUAGUCC